rnacentral:rRNA from 1 species
GCGUGAGGGAAGACUGCCCUAUGGGUUGUAAACCUCUUUUAUAAGGGAAGAAUAAGUUCUACGUGUAGAAUGAUGCCUGUACCUUAUGAAUAAGCAUCGGCUAACUCCGUGCCAGCAGCCGCGGUAAUACGGAGGAUGCGAGCGUUAUCCGGAUUUAUUGGGUUUAAAGGGUGCGUAGGCGGUUUAUUAAGUUAGUGGUUAAAUAUUUGAGCUAAACUCAAUUGUGCCAUUAAUACUGGUAAACUGGAGUACAGACGAGGUAGGCGGAAUAAGUUAAGUAGCGGUGAAAUGCAUAGAUAUAACUUAGAACUCCGAUAGCGAAGGCAGCUUACCAGACUGUAACUGACGCUGAUGCACGAGAGCGUGGGUAGCGAACAGGAUUAGAUACCCUGGUAGUCCACGCCGUAAACGAUGCUCACUGGUUCUGUGCGAUAUAUUGUACGGGAUUAAGCGAAAGUAUUAAGUGAGCCACCUGGGGAGUACGUCGGCAACGAUGAAACUCAAAGGAAUUGACGGGGGCCCGCACAAGCGGAGGAACAUGUGGUUUAAUUCGAUGAUACGCGAGGAACCUUACCUGGGUUUAAAUGGGAAAUGUCGUAUUUGGAAACAGAUAUUCUCUUCGGAGCGUUUUUCAAGGUGCUGCAUGGUUGUCGUCAGCUCGUGCCGUGAGGUGUCGGCUUAAGUCCCAUAACGAGCGCAACCCUUACCGUUAGUUGCUAGCAUGUAAUGCUGAGCACUCUAACGGGACUGCCACCGUAAGGUGAGAGGAAGGCGGGGAUGACGUCAAAUCAGCACGGCCCUUACACCCGGGGCUACACACGUGUUACAAUGGCCGGUACAGAGGGCCGCUACCAGGUGACUGGAUGCCAAUCUCAAAAGCCGGUCGUAGUUCGGAUUGGAGUCUGUAACCCGACUCCAUGAAGUUGGAUUCGCUAGUAAUCGCGCAUC